rnacentral:rRNA from 1 species
GACGAACGCUGGCGGCGUGCUUAACACAUGCAAGUCGAACGGAAAGGCCCUGCUUGCAGGGUACUCGAGUGGCGAACGGGUGAGUAACACGUGGGUGAUCUGCCCUGCACUUCGGGAUAAGCCUGGGAAACUGGUCUAAUACCGGAUAGGAGCCAUUUUUAGUGUGGUGGUUGGAAAGUUUUUUCGGUGUAGGAUGAGCUCGCGGCCUAUCAGCUUGUUGGUGGGGUAAUGGCCUACCAAGGCGGCGACGGGUAGCCGGCCUGAGAGGGUGGACGGCCACAUUGGGACUGAGAUACGGCCCAGACUCCUACGGGAGGCAGCAGUGGGGAAUAUUGCACAAUGGGCGCAAGCCUGAUGCAGCGACGCCGCGUGGGGGAUGACGGCCUUCGGGUUGUAAACUCCUUUCGCUAGGGACGAAGCUUUUUGUGACGGUACCUAGAUAAGAAGCACCGGCUAACUACGUG